rnacentral:rRNA from 1 species
UACGUAGGGGGCUAGCGUUGUCCGGAAUCAUUGGGCGUAAAGCGCGUGUAGGCGGCCCGAUAAGUCCGCUGUGAAAGUCCAGGGCUCAACCCUGGGAUGCCGGUGGAUACUGUCGGGCUCGAGUCCGGAAGAGGCGAGUGGAAUUCCUGGUGUAGCGGUGAAAUGCGCAGAUAUCAGGAGGAACACCGGUGGCGAAGGCGGGUCUCUGGGCCGAUACUGAC